CCUACGGGAGGCAGCAGUGGGGAAUAUUGCACAAUGGGGGAAACCCUGAUGCAGCGACGCCGCGUGAGUGAAGAAGUAAUUCGUUAUGUAAAGCUCUAUCAGCAGGGAAGAAAAUGACGGUACCUGAGUAAGAAGCCCCGGCUAACUACGUGCCAGCAGCCGCGGUAAUACGUAGGGGGCAAGCGUUAUCCGGAUUUACUGGGUGUAAAGGGAGCGUAGACGGCAGUGCAAGUCUGGAGUGAAAGGCGGGGGCUCAACCCCCGGACUGCUCUGGAAACUGUACGGCUGGAGUGCAGGAGAGGUAAGUGGAAUGCCUAGUGGAGCGGUGAAAUGCGUAGAUAUUAGGAGGAACACCAGUGGCGAAGGCGGCUUACUGGACUGAAACUGACGCUGAGGCACGAAAGCGUGGGGAGCGAACAGGAUUAGAUACCCGUGUAGUC
rnacentral:rRNA from 1 species